rnacentral:rRNA from 1 species
AGCGAACGCUGGCGGCAGGCCUAACACAUGCAAGUCGAACGAACUCUUCGGAGUUAGUGGCGGACGGGUGAGUAACACGUGGGAACGUGCCCUUAGGUUCGGAAUAACUCAGGGAAACUUGAGCUAAUACCGGAUGUGCCCUUCGGGGGAAAGAUUUAUCGCCUUUAGAGCGGCCCGCGUCUGAUUCGCUAGUUGGUGAGGUAAAGGCUCACCAAGGCGACGAUCAGUAGCUGGUCUGAGAGGAUGAUCAGCCACAUUGGGACUGAGACACGGCCCAAACUCCGACGGGAGGCAGCAGUAGGGAAUCUUGCGCAAUGGGCGAAAGCCUGACGCAGCCAUGCCGCGUGAAUGAUGAAGGUCUUAGGAUUGUAAAAUUCUUUCACCGGGGACGAUAAUGACGGUACCCGGAGAAGAAGCCCCGGCUAACUUCGUG